GAUGAACGCUGGCGGCGUGCCUAAUACAUGCAAGUCGAGCGAACAGACGAGGAGCUUGCUCCUCUGACGUUAGCGGCGGACGGGGGAGUAACACGUGGAUAACCUACCUAUAAGACUGGGAUAACUUCGGGAAACCGGAGCUAAUACCGGAUAAUAUAUUUAACCGCAUGGUUCAAUAGUGAAAUACGGUUUUGCUGUCACUUAUAGAUUGAUCCGCGCCUCAUUAGCUAGUUGGUAAGGUAACGGCUUACCAAGGCAACGAUGCGUAGCCGACCUGAGAGGGUGAUCGGCCACACUGGAACUGAGACACGGUCCAGACUCCUACGGGAGGCAGCAGUAGGGAAUCUUCCGCAAUGGGCGAAAGCUUGACGGAGCAAAGCCGCGUGAGUGAUGAAGGUCUUCGGAUCGUAAAACUCUGUUAUUAGGGAAGAACAAAUGUGUAAGUAACUAUGCACGUCUUGACGGUACCUAAUCAGAAAGCCACGGCUAACUACGUG
rnacentral:rRNA from 1 species